rnacentral:rRNA from 1 species
UAAGGAAUAUUGGUCAAUGGACGCAAGUCUGAACCAGCCAUGCCGCGUGAAGGAUGAUGGUCCUCUGGAUUGUAAACUUCUUUUAUCUGGGACGAAAACGGGAUUUUUAUCUCAAUUGACGGUACCAGAGGAAUAAGCACCGGCUAACUCCGUGCCAGCAGCCGCGGUAAUACGGAGGGUGCGAGCGUUAUCCGGAUUUACUGGGUUUAAAGGGUGCGUAGGUGGGCUUAUAAGUCAGUGGUGAAAUACCGGAGCUUAACUUCGGAACUGCCAUUGAUACUAUAUGUCUUGAAUAUUGUGUAGGUAAGCGGAAUAUGUCAUGUAGCGGUGAAAUGCAUAGAUAUAACAUAGAACACCGAUUGCGGAGGCAGCUUGCUACGCAAAUAUUGACGCUGAGGCACGAAAGCGUGGGGAUCAAAC